rnacentral:rRNA from 1 species
AUUGAACGCUGGCGGCCGGCCUAACACAUGCAAGUCGAGCGAGCGGCGGACGGGUGAGUAAUGUCUGGGAAACUGCCUGAUGGAGGGGGCUAACUACUGGAAACGGUAGCUAAUACCGCAUACCAUCAGAUGUGCCCAGAUGGGAUUAGCUAGUAUGUGGGGUAACUGCUCACCUAGGCGACGAUCCCUAGCUGGUCUGAGAGGAUGACCAGCAACACUGGAACUGAGACACGGCACAGACUCCGACGGGAGGCAGCAGUGGGGAAUAUUGGACAAUGGGCGCAAGCCUGAUGCAGCCAUGCCGCGUGUGUGAAGAAGGCAGUCGGGUUGGAAAGCACUGUCAGCGGGGAGGCGUUACCCGCAGAAGAAGCACCGGCUAACUCCGUGCCAGCAGCCGCGGUAAUAC